CCCCCCCCCCCCCCCCCAGGUUUUGUUGUUUCUUUCAUAGCAUGUAUUAUUUUUUCCUGCGCGUUGAUGGGCGUAACAAAUCAAAGUAAUCAUGUACCCGACACAGGCAGGGGCAUGUCUUACACGGUGCUCAUGCGCGUGAGUCAUCGGAUUAGAAAUGGGUGGUCGAUUGAAAGCGGUGGGUGAGGUCCGACGGCUUUGGUGGCCAGCGCGCACGUGUAAGUGGAGCUCCAAAAUUUCCCCAUUCUCGUUCGUUUUCGUCUCCUUGAUCUCCAUCCCCACUCUCCAAUCGAUUAUCUGCGGCGGCGUAGCGGCAAAGGCAGGAGCACACAUCGGCCAACCUAAUCCCAACGCCGGGGCUAUCCACCACCCGUCCUCAGCCUCCCUUCCUCCUGGUGAUCGUCGGUGGAGCACCCCCACGAGCAGGGGAGGCGACACGCGUGGUCCCUGGUGGUUGAGAAAGGGCGGCGCAUCGAUGGCGAGAGGCCAAGAUGGGGGAACGUGGGCGGUGGGAGGAGCUUGCGGUGUGGAGGAAGACCUGGUUGUGCUUCUGCUGCCGGUAGCGCUACUCCUUACUGUCAAGAUCUGAGGCGGGCAUCGGCGGCAUGGCUGCUGCCUAGGCUCUGCCUCGGCGGUGGUCGGUUCCACGGGUCGCGGUGCGGAUAUGCUUCCACGGUACGGCCAUGAUCCAUGCGUUCGCAGUUUGUUGAUCUCGCGGGCGAUGCAGCCUUGGAGACGAGGAUGCUGCGGUGGGACUCGGGCAUGUCGGACUGCACGGCCACCACAAGUAGGUAUGCCGAGUCUGCCUUGCGCAGGCCCUUGGCAAGCCCAGCCACACCCAUCCAAUAAUCACCGUCGCCGACUAGGAAUGUCAUGAAUUCCUGUCUCGGUUAGGUGCUUAUUUUCUUGUAGCUUUUUGUGUGUCCAAAUGCAAUUUACUUCAGCAUCUUAUGACUUCUUUUUUGUUCAUCCAUAUCUUCAUGAUUUCAUGUAACAUGUUUGUGUUAGGAUGUUCUGUUUGAUCGAGCCGCAUGGCUAGGUGUAGGAGGGCUCCAUCUUCUCCCUCCGCUUCCGCUCGAUUUAUAUAUCUCUGCUUCUCCGCCAUGUCUCUACGCUUUGUGCUGCCGGUGGUAGUUGCGGAUGUGCUAUAUUACUGCUAGUCUGCUACUACUUGCGUUGUGGGUAGCUGUUUGUUGCUAAUGUAGUGAUGUACUGUGUCUGCUUGAAAUCUGCACGAUUGCUUACUACUUGCUGUUCUAGGGCCUGGGCAAAACAUAAAGACACCAAGCUAGCGUUUUUCUAUGAAAAGAAGUAUUUUCCUAGGAAAAUCAACGGCAAAACAAUGAGGCUUUGCUGCACUUUCUAUUGAGUUUAUCAGCUGAGCCCAGUUAAUAAACCAUGGCGGUCUACACUUGGAGAAAGCAAGAAUACUAAGAAAGUACAUUCAGUUCUUAUCGGUGCACAAAGUUGGAAAGGGUUCGUUUGAUUUUGGAUCAGUUCUCGUCUGUACACUCUGUCCGUCUUUAGUGUAGUUGGAUUUAGGAGGUGUACAUUGUGUGUAUCCAUUUUCCUUCUGUUUUCUUAGUUUGAAACUGGUAAACCUCGUCUAGAUUAGGAUGUAUUUUUUGCGGAAACAAACUUUUAUCCUGA